ACACUGCACUCUACCUGGGAUGACAGAGUGAGACUCUCUCAAAAAAACAAAACACCCAAGGGCGGUGCAUGGUGGCUGCAAUGGCUGCCCCCAGUCUACGCAGGGCUGGGCUUGUUCAAGCAGUGUUAUGGGUCUGGCAGUUGGGUCCCCACUUCUCGGGGGAGUGGGUGACUCCGUUCUCCUCGCUUUCAUGCUGUCAGCUGAGGUGCCUGUCCUGUGUCUCAGGCGCCACUUUCUCUGGUCCCCGCUUGGCAUCGGCCUCUUCCCAAUACGGCCCGGGCUCAGCCCUGGACCAUUUUCUCGGAUUACCUCAGCCUGGCAGUUCGCUGCUGACUCCUUGCGUCCCCGUGGUGUCCAUACGUAGAGAGGAGCAGGGUAUCCUCUUGUCCCUCGCCCUGACAUGCCUGAGAAUCCCCGGGUCCUACGUGUGGUUCUCCCGGGAGCUUUGAAUGCAGGGAAGUCAACGCGUUUCCUGUCUCCGAGGAAGUGCUCACCGCUCACUGCCAAGCUCUGCGUGUCAUCACGGAGAAGGAGGCCCAGGUGAUUCUGUUGGUCACACCUGGCAUUAUCAGUCCUGUUAAACAGAAGAGGCACCACCUGGAGCUCUCUUGGUUGGAAGAUCCGUGGAAGAGUAUGGAGUCUGCUGAUCUUGUUGUUCUUCUUGUGGAUGUCUCAGACAAGUGGACCCAGAACCAGCUCAGCGCUGAGGUGCUCCAGUGCUUGACCCAGUACUCUCAGGUCCCCAGCAUCCUUGUCCUGAACAGGGUAGAUUGCUUGAAGCAAAAGUCAGUUCCCCUGGAGCUCACGGUGGCCCUCCCCGAAGGUGUGGUCAAUGGCAAGAAGCUGGGCAUGAAACCAGCCUUCCGCUCACGCCCUGGCAUGCAUGGCCCCAGCCCAGCAGCUAGGGCCCCAAACAUAAGGUCUGUGGGAAGCCCUCAGGGGACUGGCCGGCCCCGCUUCCAGGAGAUCCUCAUGUUGUCAGCCCUAAGCCAGGACGAUGUAAAAACACCAGAGAAAUACUUCCUGGCACAGGCCCAGCCAGGGCCCUGCGAGUUCCACAGUGGAGUCGUCACUAGCCAGACACCCGAAGGGAUCCGCGCCAACACCAUCCGAGAGAAGCUCCUAGAGCACCUGCCCCAGGAGGGACCCUACGGAGUGCAGCAGAAGACGAUCUUGUGGGACGAAGGACCAAGUGGGGAGCUGGUGAUCAAACAGAAGCUUCUGGUACCCAAAGAAUCUCAUGUGAGGCUCCUGAUUGGUCCAAAGGGCCAAGCAAUCUCCCAUAUCACACAGGAGGUGGGCAGAGACCUCAGGGACAUCUUCCUCUGUGACGUUCAGAUCCGCCUCUCUGCGAAGCUCAUGAAGUGACCCCCCACUCCUGCCCCUCCCACAGCAUGCCAGCCCGAGCUGCUGGCAGGAACGGACCGGCUGCCCUGGCUGGGCGGCGGGCGGGGUCGGAUGAGGGGAAUGAACACUGACUGCCUGCCAGCUGGCCUAGCCCUGCUGAGGCCACGCUAUGCCUCCUGUUGGAGGAAGCAGGCUGCCUUAGCUCAGUCCCCAAGCAGUUCCUUGACUCCUGGGACGUAGUAGCUACUUAGGUCUAAAAGUUGGUCCCUUGGUGGGAACUAGGCCACACAGCCUCCAGCUGGCACUGGGUCCAGAGCUUCUCCCUAAGUUGCCAUUGCUAGCAGGAAAGAGGUCUUUCUCCUCUUCCCCCAGUUCUUCCACCUUGAAGCUGUGC